GCCUGAGUGGCUUGGUCGGUUAAGCGUCCGACUUCGGCUCAGGUCAUGAUCUCACGGUCUGUGGGUUCAAGCCCCACGUCGGGCU
rnacentral:tRNA from 1 species